AGUUAUCUGGGUGAGCAGGCAGCGGACAAGUGACGUCUCCCGGCCUGCUGCCCCAGGCCCCCCACAAGCCGCGUUCUGGGGCCGUGGCCUCCCCAGAGCAGAUCAGUGGGGGCUGUGUGAGCAACACUGGGGGCAGCUGGGCAGCGCCUCCCUGGAGGCCCCUCUGAAAUCCCGCCGGAUGCUGGCAGGCUCCAAGGGGGCUGGACACCAUCUUCUCAGGUUGAAGCAAGUCCUGGUUGAGUUCCUAGUCCAGGAGGUGGGAUGGGUGAGGGGUGGAGGGCAGAGGAGAAACUGCGUCAGGGAUGUGUCCGCCACCUUCAUCCUCCAGACGGGACUUGGGAGCGGCUGCAGGAAACCCUGAGAGAUUCCUCUUUAGGGAAGUCAUCCAGCCCUGGGGUCCCCUUAUGCCGGGAGCAGUGAGGACAGAAGAAUGACCAUCUAUCUUGCUGAAAGCUCUGUGAGGGAGGAACGGAAGAACGGAGGGAGCUACGACCUUGACCAUCCCCUGAGUGUCCAUGGCCUCUGUGCUCCGGAUGAUGCCGGGGCUGCCAGGGACCACAGAGCCACCCACUGGGAGGCUGGGGGUUGGCCUGGCUCAGGGGCGUUCGUCAGCCAUAGACACCCACAGCAUGUGGUGGGCAGGGCUGGGAGGUGACACAGGAACUGAAAAACCUGAGAAGCUCCAGCCACUCCGCAGGGGCCCUGCAGGGAAGCGUGGAAAGGCGGCACAGGGCUGGACCCAGAGGAGCUCUCAGAUGCUGGACUGGACUGUUUCAGGGGUCAUCUAGCCCAUUCCCCGCCUCCAGGCGAGGAUUUGCUUGAGCCUGGAAAGAUGAAGGAUCCUCCCAGUGCCGUCAAGCCCCGGAUUCCACCUCCCUGUAGGUGGACUGCCAGCGCAGGCCCUGACAACGCAGAGAAAGACACAGGACCCAGCUGGGCCAGUGACAGCAGGAGCUCCUGGUGCCACAGGAAUGGAAACUGUGACUCAUAAUAGCCAGCUAGUCAAUGAUUAUUCCCCCCAGUCCCUGGCGCAUCAAGAUUUGCUGGACCAUUUCACUUUGACUGAAAAAGCUGGAGCUGCCUUAAAGAAACUUCUUGGGC
rnacentral:lncRNA from 1 species